UGCAAGUCGAACGAUGAACCCCGCUUGCGGGGGGAUUAGUGGCGAACGGGUGAGUAACACGUGAGUAACCUGCCCUUAACUCUGGGAUAAGCCUUGGAAACGAGGUCUAAUACUGGAUAUUGACUUUACCUCGCAUGGGGUUUUGUUGAAAGAUUUAUUGGUUUUGGAUGGACUCGCGGCCUAUCAGCUUGUUGGUGAGGUAAUGGCUCACCAAGGCGACGACGGGUAGCCGGCCUGAGAGGGUGACCGGCCACACUGGGACUGAGACACGGCCCAGACUCCUACGGGAGGCAGCAGUGGGGAAUAUUGCACAAUGGGCGAAAGCCUGAUGCAGCGACGCCGCGUGAGGGAUGACGGCCUUCGGGUUGUAAACCUCUUUCAGUAGGGAACAAGGCCAGCAUUUUUGUUGGUUGAGGGUACUUGCAGAAGAAGCGCCGGCUAACUACGUGCCAGCAGCCGCGGUAAUACGUAGGGCGCAAGCGUUAUCCGGAAUUAUUGGGCGUAAAGAGCUCGUAGGCGGUUUGUCGCGUCUGCCGUGAAAGUCCGGGGCUCAACCCCGGAUCUGCGGUGGGUACGGGCAGACUAGAGUGAUGUAGGGGAGACUGGAAUUCCUGGUGUAGCGGUGAAAUGCGCAGAUAUCAGGAGGAACACCGAUGGCGAAGGCAGGUCUCUGGGCAUUAACUGACGCUGAGGAGCGAAAGCAUGGGGAGCGAACAGGAUUAGAUACCCUGGUAGUCCAUGCCGUAAACGUUGGGCACUAGGUGUGGGGGACAUUCCACGUUUUCCGCGCCGUAGCUAACGCAUUAAGUGCCCCGCCUGGGGAGUACGGCCGCAAGGCUAAAACUCAAAGGAAUUGACGGGGGCCCGCACAAGCGGCGGAGCAUGCGGAUUAAUUCGAUGCAACGCGAAGAACCUUACCAAGGCUUGACAUGAACCGGAAAUACCUGGAAACAGGUGCCCCGCUUGCGGUCGGUUUA
rnacentral:rRNA from 1 species